CACGUAGGGGGCAAGCGUUAUCCGGAAUUACUGGGUGUAAAGGGAGAGUAGGCGGCAUGGUAAGUUAGAUGUGAAAGCCCGAGGCUUAACCUCGGGAUUGCAUUUAAAACUAUCAAGCUAGAGUACAGGAGAGGUAAGUGGAAUUCCUAGUGUAGCGGUGAAAUGCGUAGAUAUUAGGAAGAACACCAGUGGCGAAGGCGACUUACUGGACUGAAACUGACGCUGAGGCUCGAAAGCGUGGGGAGCGAACAGGAUUAGAUACCCUGGUAGUCCACGCCGUAAACGAUGAGUGCUAGGUGUCGGGGGGGAACCCUCGGUGCCGCAGCUAACGCAAUAAGCACUCCACCUGGGGAGUACGAUCGCAAGAUUGAA
rnacentral:rRNA from 1 species